GGAAGCGUCAUUACCUAUCUAUUUUGACCUCAAAUCAGGUAGGACUACCCGCUGAACUUAAGCAUAUCAAUAAGCGGAGGAAAAGAAACUAUCAAGGAUUCCCCUAGUAACUGCGAGUGAAGCGGGAAAAGCUCAAAUUUUGAAUCUGGCAGUCCUUUGUCGGCUGUCCGAAUUGUAAUCUAGAGAAGCGUCUUCCGCGCUGGACCGUGUACAAGUCUCCUGGAAGGGAGCAUCAUAGAGGGUGAGAAUCCCGUCUUUGACACGGACUACCAGGGCUUAUGUGAUGCGCUCUCGACGAGUCGAGUUGUUUGGGAAUGCAGCUCAAAAUGGGUGGUAAAUUCCAUCUAAAGCUAAAUACUGGCAAGAGACCGAUAGUGAACAAGUACCGUGAGGGAAAGAUCAAAAGAACUUUGAAAAGAGAGUUAAACAGUACGUGAAAUUGCUGAAAGGGAAACGCUUGAUGUCCAGUCGCGUUGAUUAGGGGUCAACCGGUAAUACGGUGUAAUUCCUAGUUGACGGGUCAGCAUCAGUUUCGGUCGUCG
rnacentral:rRNA from 1 species